GACGAACCGUCCAAACGUUAUUCGGAAUCACUGGGCUUACAGAGUUCGUAGGCGGUCUGGAAAGUUGGGUGUGAAAUCCCUCGGCUCAACCGAGGAACUGCGCUUGAAACUACCAGACUCGAGGGAGAUAGAGGAAAGCGGAACUGAUGGUGGAGCGGUGAAAUGCGUUGAUAUCCUAAGGAACACCAGUGGCGAAAGCGGCUCACUGGGUCUCUUCUGACGCUGAUGCACGAAAGCUAGGGUAGCGAACGGG
rnacentral:rRNA from 1 species